rnacentral:rRNA from 1 species
AUUGAACGCUGGCGGCAGGCCUAACACAUGCAAGUCGAACGGUAACAGGAAGCAGCUUGCUGCUUUGCUGACGAGUGGCGGACGGGUGAGUAAUGUCUGGGAAACUGCCCGAUGGAGGGGGAUAACUACUGGAAACGGUAGCUAAUACCGCAUAACGUCGCAAGAUCAAAGAGGGGGACCUUAGGGCCUCUUGCCAUCGGAUGUGCCCAGAUGGGAUUAGCUAGUAGGUGGGGUAACGGCUCACCUAGGCGACGAUCCCUAGCUGGUCUGAGAGGAUGACCAGCCACACUGGAACUGAGACACGGUCCAGACUCCUACGGGAGGCAGCAGUGGGGAAUAUUGCACAAUGGGCGAAAGCCUGAUGCAGCCAUGCCGCGUGUAUGAAGAAGGACUUCGGGUUGUAAAGUACUUUCAGCGGGGAGGAAGGGAAUAAAGUUAAUACCUUUGCUUAUUGACGUUACCCGCAGAAGAAGCACCGGCUAACUCCGUG